AUGGCUCAGGAUGAACGCUGGCGGCGUGCCUAAUACAUGCAAGUCGAACGAGGUAGCAAUACCGAGUGGCGAACGGGUGAGUAACACGUAGGUAACCUGCCUUACAGUUUGGGAUACCCUGGCGAAAGCUAGGCUAAUACCGAAUAAUUGGAUUGGAGGCAUCUCCGAUCUCUAAAAGGGGCCCUUAAAGCCUCGCUGAAAGAUGGACCUGCGGCGCAUUAGCUAGUUGGUGAGAUAACAGCCCACCAAGGCGAGGAUGCGUAGCCGACCUGAGAGGGUGAACGGCCACACUGGAACUGAGACACGGUCCAGACUCCUACGGGAGGCAGCAGUAGGGAGUUUUCGGCAAUGGGGGAAACCCUGACCGAGCAACGCCGCGUGAAUGAUGAAGGUCUUCGGAUUGUAAAGUUCUGUUAUAAGGGAAAAAUGAUAGGGUGAGGAAAUGCUCCCUAUUUGAUGGUACCUUAUUAGAAAGCCACGGCUAACUACGUGCCAGCAGCCGC
rnacentral:rRNA from 1 species